AGUGAACGCUGGCGGUAGGCCUAACACAUGCAAGUCGAACGGCAGCACAGUAAGAGCUUGCUCUUACGGGUGGCGAGUGGCGGACGGGUGAGGAAUACAUCGGAAUCUACUUUUUCGUGGGGGAUAACGUAGGGAAACUUACGCUAAUACCGCAUACGACAUACGGGUGAAAGCAGGGGAUCUUUGGACCUUGCGCGAUUGAAUGAGCCGAUGUCGGAUUAGCUAGUUGGGGGGGUAAAGGCCCACCAAGGCGACGAUCCGUAGCUGGUCUGAGAGGAUGAUCAGCCACACUGGAACUGAGACACGGUCCAGACUCCUACGGGAGGCAGCAGUGGGGAAUAUUGGACAAUGGGCGCAAGCCUGAUCCAGCCAUACCGCGUGGGUGAAGAAGGCCUUCGGGUUGUAAAGCCCUUUUGUUGGGAAAGAAAAGCAGCAGGUUAAUACCCCGCUGUUCUGACGGUACCCAAAGAAUAAGCACCGGCUAACUUCGUG
rnacentral:rRNA from 1 species